rnacentral:rRNA from 1 species
UACGUAGGGGGCAAGCGUUGUCCGGAUUUAUUGGGCGUAAAGAGCUCGUAGGCGGCUCGGUAAGUCGGAUGUGAAAUCUCCAGGCUCAACCUGGAGACGCCAUCUGAUACUGCCGUGGCUUGAGUCCGGUAGAGGAGCAGGGAAUUCCUGGUGUAGCGGUGAAAUGCGCAGAUAUCAGGAGGAACACCAGCGGCGAAGGCGCUGCUCUGGGCCGGUACUGACGCUGAGGAGCGAAAGCGUGGGGAGCGAACAGG